UUGGAAGUUGCCAAACUUUACUUACUGCCUCGCAGGGCUUUGGGAUUUGAGGAGAAAACUCGAGGGACCUCCAGUUUGAGAAAUCCCAGGGAGUUCAGGGGAUUAACACGUGGCCUUCCAGGCGGGGAUGUUGGAGGCAAAAUCCUUGGGAAAUGCCAGAGCUCUGCUAACAGGCCUUGCUUUAGGUGCUGCUCAGCAUUCCAUGGGCAGAUUCCUGAGGCCUGGAUGAGCCAUCCCCCCUUGGAGCAGCAGCUGUGGGAUGUGAAAUCUCCAGGGGUGCAGCCAGGGCCCCUCAGGAGAGCCUGGAGACGGUGCCAGAGGCUUCUCUGGAGCUCUGGAUGCCGCUGCCACCUUCUCACAAGGAGCCCUGGAAGAGCCCAGCAGGAGAGAAGGGAAGAGAAGGAUAAUCCACAGAAUAUUCCCUGAAUCCUCCUUGCAGUUGCUGCUGGUUGGAUGUUGUGUUCCCUGGGAUCCCUGAGGAUGGGCUGCUCCAGCCUCAGCGAUGGAGGGCAGGAGAUCUCCUGUGGUUGUCCCAGAAACGGGAAAAUGUUCAUCCUGGGAAGAGGAGGAGAGUGCUGGCAGCUUUUCUGGAUUUUAUGGCACAGCAGCAGGUCCUGCUUGGUCCCAAAAGGAGACAGAUCCCGGUUGUCCGGGUUGGAAAAGACCUUUAAGACCGUCAAACCCAACCAUUAAAGAGAUGUAGAUGUGCAAAUGCUCCUGGGUGGGGUUCAAUGGUGAGGGUGUGGAAUUCCCAAGGUUUGCAGUGGGAUGGGAUUGGAUCUCUGGAUCUGUGUGCCCUGGCAGAGCUUCUCCCAGAAAACCAAAGGUGAUCUACAGGAUGCUGGACCUGCAUCAGCUGAGCCAGAGUGUUUAUUCCCCAAAAUCAUCUCUGGUUUCUCCUCUGCUUCAGUGGAGAUCCCUGGGGAGGUGGAAACUCUCCUGAGGGUCCUUUUCCUCUAAAGUCACUCUCCAAGGUUAUUCCCCUGCUCCUGGAGACACUCCUACGUUCUCUGGCCAUCUCCCUGCCCCAAUGCUGGCCCCCUCACCCCCCAAAUUUCUCCUCCAAAGAGGCUCCAAACCUUUCCUAGAUUUCAUUUAUUGAGGCCAGAGGCUCCUUUUCCACAUAUCCGCACAGAUUUUCUCCUUCUAUCCCAUCCAGCUCUGCCCUCCAGGCUCCCAAACUUCCCACAAAAAGAGUGUGGGAUUCUCCAGGAGGUGAAGCAGCACAGGAUGGAAUCUCCAGCUCCUGCUGGCACUUCCCAGCUCCCUGAAGGAUCUCCCAAAGGUGCCCAACAGUUCCAAGCUUGUGGAUUGUUCUCUUCCCUGCCUCCAAUCCGUGCAAACCUGGCCACACUUCAACCUUCUGUGCACACCUAAACUCCGUGGCUUUAUUUUCACUGCAGCCUCUUUGUUCUUGGAUGCUCUGGGAAGGGAAUUUGUGCCUAAUCCUUUGAUAUGUGACUCCAUGCUUUGCAUAUCAUCCUCGUGUCCCCUGUCCCCAACAUCUUCCCUUUUGUGACGAGCUGAGCUCGUGUCUGAACUCUCUUCCCUGAUCCUAGAAGUUUUUUUCCUCCCAUCCUGGGAGAUUACAACUAAUUCAGUGCCCAGCCAUGCAUGCCAAAAUUUAAAUAAUAAAUCAUCUCUCCCUGCCAGCAAGCACCCCUGGACACGAAGGCAAAGCCCCACUCCUUCCCGGGAAAAUGGGGCUCUGCCUCAGCCUGAAAAUUCUGGGAAUUGUGGAUUGGGGGUGCUUCCCACCUGCCUGCACAUCCCCCUUCCCCACCCUCCCUGCCUGCCUUGGCUCUGCUCUGAAGGAAAUGAUUGUGUUGGGAUCCUCCAAAUGCCAGGGAAGGGAGCAGGGGAGCCCAGAGGAGCUGAUGUGGGGCGAGGAUUGAAGGGAAGACACGGCAGAAAAUGAGAGCAGGGAACAAAACCUGGGGUGCAGGAGGAUGAGAGUUGGUGUGUGACCCACGUGCCAGUGUGCUAAAUUCCCCUCUCCACCACCGUAAAGGGGCUUUAUCCUUUAACCAACACCGUGGUGAGAGGUUUAUUCAAGUAGAAAAUUUUUAAUUGCAUUCUCUUGUAGUCAAAUAUUAAUGGAAGGACCUUGUACAAAUAAAAGUGAAUAAUGCAACAGCUUAGCUGACAACAUUGUUUCACAUUCAUUGCAGAUUGUGAACCUUCAUUAAAAUGGAUUAUUUUUGCUUUGGAGAUUUAACCAGCAACAUGACUUUCCCCUCUCGCUGGCCCUGUUCUGCCUGAGCCCGCAGAGAGCUCGGGCCAAGGAGGAGCUUGCAAAAUUAAUUCUGAAAGAAGAGGCUGAAACUUCCAGGAUGUGAAUUCUCCUCAUUCCCUCGGCUCAGAGGAGAGCUCAGCACAGAAAUCAUCAGGCAAGGGCUUGGAGCAGACCCCUGCUAUGGAGGAGGGCUCAGGGGAGCUGGGAAAGGCAGGGAAGGAUCUCAGCAGUGACCUCUUGGAAAGUGAUCUGAGGGGAUCCCAAGCCCAAGGGGGUCAGAGGGGGCUUUAGGACAACAACCCCACCCGUUGGGAGGGUCAGCUGCUCCUCUGAGGCAACCAGGACAGCAGGAGGGGUCUGAGGGCAGCUCAGCCCACAGCAAUCCUGAUCAGAGAAUCCCAGAA